rfam:Cephalotus follicularis DNA, scaffold: scaffold5851, isolate: St1.
CUGGUUGAUCCUGCCGGUAUUCAUAUGCUUGUCUCAAAGAUUAAGCCAUGUAUGUGUAAGUAUGAACUAAUUCAGACUGUGAAACUGUAAAUUUCUCAUUAAAUCAGUUAUAGUUUGUUUGAUGGUAUCUGCUACUCGGAUAACCGUUGUAAUUCUAGAGCUAAUACAUGCAACAAACCCUGACUUCUGGAAGGGAUGCAUUUAUUAGAUAAAAGGUCAACGCGGGCUUUGCCCUUUGCUUUGAUGAUUCAUGAUAACUCGACGGAUAGCACGACCAUAGUGCCGGUGAUGCAUCAUUCAAAUUUAUGCCCUAUCAACUUUCGAUGGUAGGAUAGUGGCCUACCAUGGUGGUGAUGGGUGACGUAAAAUUAGGGUUUGAUUCCGGAGAGGAAGUUUGAGAAAUGGCUACCACAUCCAAGGAAGACAGCAGGCGCGCAAAUUACCCAAUCCUGAUACGGGGAUGUAAUGUCAAUAAAUAACAAUAUCAGGCUCCACACAGAUCUUUAAAGAUAGGGAUUUGAACCUCAAGCAGAGAUGGAUGGAGAUGAUUAAAGACUAUGAU